AUGUAAAAAUUCAUAUUUAAAUACAUUCAAAAUUCUCACUAAAGUUUUACAGCAUAAAGUCAGGCAAAAAUAAGAACAGAUGUUUCAAUAAAACAAACUGUUACAAUUUAAUUUAAAAAAAUUAAAUUAUAGCAGUUUGUUUUGUUGGAAGUGUAUGGACACUUUACAAAUAAGAUUAGAAAUGAAUAGACCAAUAUUCUUAAGGAUCAUUCCUGUAUAUAUCAUUAGUUUAAUAUUAAAUAGAAAAGUAGCAAUUCCUGAUAUUUAUGAUCAACAGUUUGUGUCUUUUUUGAUAAUUCUGGUCAUUUGGUUAAUACAGUAUAAUUAUUUUGCUACCUUUGUUUUAUGUUUUUGUUAGAGAGUUGGAAAGAAUAGUAAGGGGAACUUCUUUCCACUCAUGGAGUACUAAUGGCCAUAUUCACCAACUGAGUCUCAAAAUGAGAAUUGCAUGAUGCAAGAAGCAACCAAUCUGAGCUGCGAGUUGGCAUCAGAAUGAAUACUGUAUUCACCACACUAUUCCGAUGCUAGCUCACAUGAUUGCCGACUUAAGUCAGGACAGUUUGUAAGAUGCGAUCUGACUGGACAAGAGAGAUCACGAGGUUUAUUUAUUUAUUUAUUCAAUGUUGCAAACUUGAAGAGUACAAUACGCUACAGUCACAAGAAAGAAGUAACAAAAUAUAUUAGAAGUAAC
rnacentral:lncRNA from 1 species